rnacentral:ncRNA from 1 species
GAAUACAUUAGCAUGGAAUAAUGAAAUAGGACGUGCGGUUCUAUUUUGUUGGUUUCUAGGACCGCCGUAAUGAUUAAUAGGGACAGUCGGGGGCAUCAGUAUUCAAUUGUCAGAGGGGAAAUUCUUGGAUUUAUUGAAGACUAACUACUGCGAAAGCAUUUGCCAAGGAUGUUUUCAUU